AUUCUUACCUGGACGGGGUCAAUGGGAGAUCAAGAAGGCCCAUGGCCUAGGCUGGUGUCCUCCUUUACACUUUGGAGGGGUACCCGCCUAAGGUCAGCCCAAGUGGUCGAGCCUAUAUCAUAAUUUGUUGUAGCGGGGGCCUGUGUUCGCGCGGCCCCUAC
rnacentral:snRNA from 1 species